rnacentral:rRNA from 1 species
GACGAACGCUGGCGGCGUGCUUAACACAUGCAAGUCGAACGGUGAAGCUCCAGCUUGCUGGAGUGGAUCAGUGGCGAACGGGUGAGUAACACGUGAGCAACCUGCCCCAGACUCUGGAAUAAGCGCUGGAAACGGCGUCUAAUACUGGAUACGAGAUCAAGCCGCAUGGUUAUGGUCUGGAAAGUUUUUCGGUUUGGGAUGGGCUCGCGGCCUAUCAGCUUGUUGGUGAGGUAAUGGCUCACCAAGGCGACGACGGGUAGCCGGCCUGAGAGGGCGACCGGCCACACUGGGACUGAGACACGGCCCAGACUCCUACGGGAGGCAGCAGUGGGGAAUAUUGCACAAUGGGCGCAAGCCUGAUGCAGCGACGCCGCGUGAGGGAUGACGGCCUUCGGGUUGUAAACCUCUUUCAGCAGGGAAGAAGCGAAAGUGACGGUACCUGCAGAAGAAGCACCGGCUAACUACGUG